rnacentral:lncRNA from 1 species
CAUUGUUUACCCAAAGGGCAAUGUCGCCCUUGGACGUAUUUGGUGCAGCAGGUCCUUCACACGAUCAAUUCUGUUCGAGUUCGCAGCAGUUAUAUCGCUGCAUCAGGGGGAAAUCUCCCCUGUGCUGCAUUCACCAUCACGGUAUUGUUCAUCUACUAUGAAUAUAACCCCCAGAAUGAUCUUGUGUAUUGUGCUUGUCGUCUUUGC